rnacentral:piRNA from 1 species
UUUGAGGAAUGCAAGAGCCGGCAGGAAAUUC